rnacentral:lncRNA from 1 species
AUACAUAAAAUGAUAUCACAAAGUAAAUUAAAGUGAUCAUGUCACCAUGUUUAUGUGUAAUUUUAUCCCUAAUCUUUUUACCCGUACUCCUUUAACAAUUGCCAAGUUUUGGUUGCUGUUUGGCAAAAAAAAUGUAUUGGUUAAUGACCAGUUGCCUGUAUUGUCUUCUUGGUACAUUACCAAUUGGCUAUUUAUCAUGGCAGCAUUAACUAGAAAGAUAGAAUUUUUAGAAAAUGGAAUGAGAACUAUGGCUGUUAUCAAAUAACCUUUGUUGCAGGCCCAUUUGCCCGGGCCCAAGAAAGAAACAAAAGAACCCAUACCAGCAGACCCACCUGCUCCACCUGCUCUGCCACUGCCGCACCGCCAUCACCUACCCUCCGCCGCACGUCCCAUCGCCUGCACCGUUCAGCCACCUGCUCCACCUGCCAAAGAGAAACAAACACGCAAGCAGAAACGAAGACAAAUUUUUUUCUUUCUUUNNNNNNNNNNNNNNNNNNNNNNNNNNNNNNNNNNNNNNNNNNNNNNNNNNNNNNNNNNNNNNNNNNNNNNNNNNNNNNNNNNNNNNNNNNNNNNNNNNNNNNNNNNNNNNNNNNNNNNNNNNNNNNNNNNNNNNNNNNNNNNNNNNNNNNNNNNNNNNNNNNNNNNNNNNNNNNNNNNNNNNNNNNNNNNNNNNNNNNNNNNNNNNNNNNNNNNNNNNNNNNNNNNNNNNNNNNNNNNNNNNNNNNNNNNNNNNNNNNNNNNNNNNNNNNNNNNNNNNNNNNNNNNNNNNNNNNNNNNNNNNNNNNNNNNNNNNNNNNNNNNNNNNNNNNNNNNNNNNNNNNNNNNNNNNNNNNNNNNNNNNNNNNNNNNNNNNNNNNNNNNNNNNNNNNNNNNNNNNNNNNNNNNNNNNNNNNNNNNNNNNNNNNNNNNNNNNNNNNNNNNNNNNNNNNNNNNNNNNNNNNNNNNNNNNNNNNNNNNNNNNNNNNNNNNNNNNNNNNNNUUUUAUUUCUCUUCGUCGGUAUUUAAAAGUGCUAGAGUACCAUCGGAUGUUGCAAAUGCAUUGAUAGGAGUAGCAAAUUUAACAGGUAUACUUUGCUCUUUGAUGGCUUUCUUGACCACGUUCUAUUAUGGUAUUUUGGUCCGUCUCUUGAUGCAUGAUUUUUCCUUCAUAAUAGGAUCUAUCGUUGCCAUGCUUUUAAUGGAUAAACUUGGAAGGAAGCUGCUUCUUCUGUGGAGCUUCUUUGGCAUGGUAAUUUACAGUGUUACUGAUUUUCUCAUCGAAAGCCCUUUCAUUUAUUAGUAGUAUUCAAGGAGUGCUACAUAUGACUUGUAUCGACAAAAAUGAAGAAAAGAAAGGCAUAUUUCUUCCUGACGUAAAUUAGAAUUUACAUCCCGUAAUGCUUUACAAUGGGUCAAUCUUUUUUCUUCUGUGCCCAGAGCACCCCUGGGUUAAAUUAUUCCAUGUCAUCUCUUGUUUGAGAUGGAACGAAAUUGAUUUCUGUUUUGUUAAAGAAGCUAGUAUAUUGAUCAUAGCAAGGAUUUGGGAACUAUGGUUUUAAAUUCCACUGCUAUCACCAUUUUAUGCAUGGCUCAGCUAAAAACAAAUAUUAUUUUUCUUUUCUUGAAUGGAAGAAUGAAAAUUUAUUUAUAAAUUCUGACUUUAUUUUUUUAAUUUAAUUUACUCAGACUAUGUCAAUGGUCCUUCAAGUUGCUGCGGCAAAUUCUUACGUGUCAGGCUCUGGAUCUUUAUACCUAUCAGUUGGUGGCAUGCUAAUGUAAGUAUUGCUGUAAUUUAUAUGCUUUUUGUUUUUUUUUUUUUUGUAAAAAAAUCUCUGAACACCUAGGAUUUAUAUGGAUGGAGAAAGUAUUCAAAUUUUGUAUAAGUUGAAAAUCUUGGUUGUAAGUUCAUUGUGUUUGGGUUCUCGAACCUGAGAUCCUGACCAUUGGAAUAAGCAGCAAACUAGAAGUGGAAUUGAUGGCUUGAAAAUGAUGAAAAGAUUACCAAUAUAUCUAAUAUUAGUCUUUUUUAUAACUGCUCACUAUCAACCACUGAGGCAGAACUUUUAGUAAUUGAUCAUGCUAUUCAUUGUGGAAAACUAUAAAUUGCCUAUGACAAAUGUCAGCAUUGAUUGCUGGAAGGCAAGAGAGAUUUGAUUUCCGGAUAUGGAUUACAACAUGCAGGUUCGUCUUAACAUUUGCACUGGGAGCUGGUCCUGUUCCAGGUCUCCUCCUACCUGAAAUUUUCCUAAAUCGAAUCCGGGCAAAAGCUAUGGCGUUCUGUAUGUCAGUGCACUGGGUAAUUUUCUCCUUUUUUCUUUUUCUCUUUCUCUUCUAUAUCAUUUGUCCGAAGAGAUUGUGACAGCUUUCGCAGCUCCGCAAGCUAGGAUAUGAAACUAUUAGUCUUAUUGCUAUCUUCUGAUGUUCUUUUUCUUGGUUGCUUUUACAUUGCUCUUUAGGUAAUCAAUUUCUUCGUUGGUUUGCUCUUCCUGCGCUUGCUGGAGCAACUCGGUCCACAGCUCUUAUACUCGAUUUUCGCCAGCGUUUGCAUGAUGGCUGUGAUCUUUGUUAAAAAGAACGUAAUGGAGACCAAAGGAAAAUCACUUCAAGAAAUAGAGAUUGCUCUUCUCCCACCAGAAUAGAGUUGGUACAUUAUCUCCCAAAUUUAUUUUUUGCAAUUCAAUUUUUUAUCUUACUUUUAUAGAGCUAAGAAUAAUAACCAAUAACCACCACACAUGUGUCAGUACAUGUGAGUGUGACGAUGUCAGUACAUGUGAGUGUAGAUAAUUCCUUCUGACUUGAUCAAAUGAAUUUAUAUAUGCAGAUCAAAUAUAAAUUUGAAGAGCAGAUAUUUUGAUCUCAUGCAACCAACUUUAGGUAUUCAUGCGAGUGUUUGACAUGCAUGAAGUAUAUUGUAUAUCCAUAUUUGGUCCUUAAUUCAUUCGGGCUAAUAUGAAAUGAUAUAUUAGAUGAGCUCUCUAUUUCCUAAUUCGGGCUAUGGGUCAUUUGUUUUGAAUCUUUAUAGUUCUCUUUAUUUGACUUAAGGUAGCACCACGGUUCACCAUUUUUGCCUCGACUUUUCAGCCUAGAAGUUGAAAUCAUAGCAAUAUAUAUAUAUUACUUUACAAAAGCACAAUCGCUUAAUUAAAUUUUACUAUUUUUAUGUUUAGCAAAAUAUGACUAUUUAUAUGCAAUUAGUAUACAUAAAAUGAUAUCACAAAGUAAAUUAAAGUGAUCAUGUCACCAUGUUUAUGUGUAAUUUUAUCCCUAAUCUUUUUACCCGUACUCCUUUAACAAUUGCCAAGUUUUGGUUGCUGUUUGGCAAAAAAAAUGUAUUGGUUAAUGACCAGUUGCCUGUAUUGUCUUCUUGGUACAUUACCAAUUGGCUAUUUAUCAUGGCAGCAUUAACUAGAAAGAUAGAAUUUUUAGAAAAUGGAAUGAGAACUAUGGCUGUUAUCAAAUAACCUUUGUUGCAGGCCCAUUUGCCCGGGCCCAAGAAAGAAACAAAAGAACCCAUACCAGCAGACCCACCUGCUCCACCUGCUCUGCCACUGCCGCACCGCCAUCACCUACCCUCCGCCGCACGUCCCAUCGCCUGCACCGUUCAGCCACCUGCUCCACCUGCCAAAGAGAAACAAACACGCAAGCAGAAACGAAGACAAAUUUUUUUCUUUCUUUCGGCUAUAAAAAGCCAGAUUUAAUAUGUAAAUGGGGCUGACUCUUUUUUUAAAAAGAAAAAAAAGAUCAAAGAAAUAGAGAAAAAAAUCAGUUGAAAGGUGAAAUUUUUAGCUUUUUUUCGAUUCCAUUCGGCUUUGCUUUCCUUUUCUUUUAUGUUUAAUAUAGGCUUAAGGAUUAAUAAACGAAACUUACCUGAAUCGUCGCGGUUGUAGCGUCGCCGGAGUCCGAGUCGUUGAGAACGGACGAGGAAGGCGUUUCAUUUUUUGAGAUUCCCUCUCUCGGCCUUAGGGCUUUAAGGACUCGAUUUUUGGAAGGGUUUUCGAAACGUGAUUUUAAAAGGCUAACUUUUCGACUUCCGACCGCCGCUUACGGCGGCGCCGGCGCCGGCGACCGGCGGCCGGUACGGUGGUUCUCGGCCGGAUCUUUGGCCGGCGUUCAGAGAGAAAAGGGGAGGGAGAGAGAGCAUUUCGGUUUUUUUUUUGAAAAGGGGAGAAGAAUGAAAUUUUUGAAAAUUUUUUUGAAUAUAUAGGCGUGUGAAACGACGUCGUUUUGGCCUAGCUCCAUAACGCCCAAAACGACGUCGUUUUGCUUUGGACCCGCGACCCGACCCGCUCCGACCCGAAGGAUCCGCGUGUUUUCUUGCGAAGGGGCUAAUUGCUCGUUUAGCCCCUCCGCAGUUUUAAUUAUUUUAAAUUUAAUCUUUUUUAAUUAUUGCAAAUUGGCCCAUUAAUUUAGUUUGUUUUUCGAUUUGGUCCUUCGACCAUCUGCGCCCUCCUCCCUGGAACGGCGUCGUUUUGACAUUGAGGGUUUAAUUACCCUUUCGGUCCCUCCUUUUUACGCCCGCUUGCAAUUAGAUCCCUCCGCCUUCUUUUUAUUUUUAAAUUGGCCCAGAAACUUUAUUUUAUUUCGAUUUAAGUCCCUUUUAAGCAUGUUUUUUUUUUUUCUUUUUUGCUCAUUUAUUUAUUUAUUAUUAUUAUAUUAUUAUUUAUAUAUAUGUGCUUAUAUACUAUAAUAUAUAAGUCUAAAAUUAUUACGAAUCUAUAUAUUUAUAAACUUUAAUAUCUAUCUAAUAAUAAUAUUAUAUUAUAUAUAUUCAAUUUUUUUUUUUUAUAUCUAUCCUGCUUUUUUUUAUUUAUUUAAUAUCUAUAUAUCUAUAUACAUAUACUACAUAAUAUUUAUACCUACGCAUAUACAAUAUAAUAUACUUGCAUACGAAUAAUUUUAUUUUUAUUUUAUGAGCAUUUCUAUUUCCUUAUUUAUGUAUAUACAUGUAUUUUAUAAUUAUAUAUACUUCUUUUUUUGUAUUUAAAUUUAUGUUUUUACCCCGUAUAAUUUGUUUCUAACAUACAUACAUAUAUAUCACCAUUUUAUUCAUUAUUAUAAUUAUCCUUUCAUGUUGAUUUAUUUAUUUAUCUACAUGUUCGUUAUUAUUUGCUUAAAUGUCUUUAUUCUUAUUUGUUUUUUUUUAUUUUUGUUGACUUUUAUUAUUUACCAUGCAUAAAAAUGUAAUUUGCUUCCACUAUGAUUUUGUGUUUUAUCUUACUUGAUGUAACAAUUUUUUUUAAAAAUGGCAUUUCGUGUUUGGAUUCGAGAAAAAUCGUGCCCUAACUUACUGGGUUUCGAUUUUCUCGAUGAAUCUAAAUACACGAAUCUUUUCAAAAUCAAGUUUUAAAUGAUCUCGAAUUUUAAAAAAGGGGUCGCAUCCUAACUUACUGGUUAUGACCUCAUUUUUAAAUUCGAGAUGGCUAAAAUUUCUUAAAUAAACUUUUUCAUUCGCGUAUCGAGAAUUUGAGAUAUUGUAUUCUAACUUACUGAAUAUGAUUCUUUUUCUCGAAUAACGUGAAAUAUCCUCCUUUUCUUGAAAAUUUUUAACAUUUUAAUACAAGGAUCGUAUUUUUUAAAAAUUCUUUUAAAUUCUCAAUUUUCGACAUUAAGACAUUAAGAAAUCAACUAGGUACCAAUUUUGGGCGUAUCGAGGGUGCUAAUCCUUCCUCGUGCGUAACCGACUCCCGAACCCGUUUUCUAAAUUUCGUGGACCAAAACCGUUGUUUUAAUAAAAUCAAACCGUUUAUUAAAAACGACCAUUUUUCGAGGUAAUCCAAUCACACCUCAUAAAAAAGGAUUGGUGGCGACUCCCAUUUUUGUUUUCAUUUUCCAAAACCCAAGUUGACCCCGUUUCCAUCCAAAAAAUGGUGUCAACAGCUUGGCGACUCCACUGGGGAUAGGAUAAGAGAGUCAAGCCACGUGUUGAUUAUUUCUUGUCUUUUUGUCGAAAGUUGAAAAUUCGAUUGAAAUUUACGAUCCUCUCACUGCAUCUCUUUUGUUUUGAGUUAUAUUUUGGUCGUGUUCUGUAUUUUAUUUUAUACCUCUGCGCAUUGCAUUGCAUGACCGUUGGUCACACCUUUUUAGGUGGGAGUGAGAAGCUACGCCUUCGUGAGGUUUUCACCUCCGCAUGGGAUAGUGAAUCGCUUUCGGGAUAUAUCCGUACCUAUGUCUUCGUGAGAUUUUCAUCUCCGCAUGGCCAUAGGGAAAUGUAUCCCCCUGAAUCGAACUUGGUCCGUAUGAGCCUAUAAUGGGUGAGGAUCGAGGAAUUUGCUGGUUCAGGUACCCUACUUUAGAACCAAACCACAUGUAAUGAGCCAUAGGAACCGACCUAGGUAGAGUUACUCUAAAUUUUUAGUGCUUACCUAAAUGAAUGUUGUAUUUAUUUAUCGUUUAUUUUAAAUCUUAUUCUGUGUUUAAUGCUAAUUUACUUUGUUUGUGAUUGCAUGGCAUCUUCAUUCUAAAAGAGGUGUUGAUUUACGUUCAGUUUCUUGGUAGAAAGCUUAUCAUGGAAAAGGGGUUUGUUGAUAAAGUAGAGGAUAAUGCGGCUGUGCGAAUAUGGGCUGAAACUACGCAACGGGAAAAAGGCGAUAGUCUUACCGAAGAGUACGUGUCAGAAUUGUGGGAUUUUACCCGUAUCAGUGUAAUCCAGAAUGACCUUCGAGAAAUGAAAGAAGUCUGGGAUCAAUGGGAUGUCGAGGCCAAGGAGCUGUUCUAUUGUAACUAUGGUGACCUACCUUAUCUGCUUAGUGUCAAAGUGGACAAGUAUUUAUUCCGAGCCCUUGCUCAGUUUUGGAAUCCUGCCUACAGUUGUUUCACUUUUGGGAAGGUAGAUUUGACGCCUACUGUAGAGGAGUAUACGACCUUACUUCGGUGCCCAAAGAUUCAAGUCGACAAGGCUUAUUCCAGAGCUGCUUGUGUCCCUCCGUUGUUAAAGAAAUUAAUGAACAUCACUGGGAUGAGCGAGCAGUGGGUCGUUGCCCGGAUCCAACAGAAGGGCGACAGUAAAUGUGUUCCUUGGAAAAGUUUACGAGAUUUGGUGCUUGUACAUCCUGACUUAAAGAAAAGGGUCGAUGUCUUCGCUUUAGGUAUCUAUGGACUAGUGGUUUUCCCCAAAGCUUUAGGACACAUAGACGAGGCUGUAUCUGAUUUGUUCGAUCGGCUUGGUAAAGGGGUUACACCGGUUCCGGCAAUACUCGCUGAAACUUUUAGAUCCUUGAAUGCGUGUCGAAAAGCAGGGGAGGGAAGGUUUAUCGGAUGCGCGCAGCUCUUAUUGGCAUGGUUCCAUAGCCACUUCUGGAAAGUCGAAAAGGUCUCUUACCGGGUAUUCUCCGAUAGCUACUCCCCUCUAGGAGAAUUGGUGGCCACGCCAAGACGGGAUGAUAUUUUAGAAGAAAAAUGGAUAGAGAUACUCCAGAAUCUCCAAGAUGAAGAUAUUGAAUGGAGGGCUCCUUGGUUAAUUCCUGAUGAGAUAUUGUACCGAUGUGGAGAUUUUGACUGGGUUCCGCUGCUCGGGAUAUGGGGGGCUAUUGGAUAUGCUCCUCUACUCGUGUCAAGACAGUAUAGAUCACGACAAUUCAUACCAGCAACCCAGGGGUUGGCUUAUAGUGAUUUUUCCUAUAGGGAGGACAAUUACAAGAAGAAGGUUCGAGAAAUAUCUAGUGCUUGGAACCAGACUCGUCGAAUGAAGAUCUUAGCUGUGGGUCCGACAAUUACCCCCGAGUAUGGUCAGUGGCGUAAUCAAAGGAUCAACGACAAUAUCCCGGCGUCAAAUUCAGAAACGGCUCGAUCUUUAGAGGAACACUUACAAGUCUUGCCUUCUGAGAUAGAAAUCAUCAAACAAGAAUUCGAAAAAAGAAGUUUAGAAUUGGGGAAGAAGAUAGAACAACUUGAGGAAGAAAAAAUGCAGUUAGGACUGGAUGUGGACAUUCAAAGAUUAGAGGCCAACAAAUUGAGGAAAGGAAAGAACAAGGCAGAAGAAGAUUUGGACAGCCUGAAGACAGAUUACAAGAAGUUGCGUAAGUCAGUAAGAGCCGCUGGCUUGGGUAAAACACCAGAACAAUGGCGACAAGAAAUUCAGGAGGAAAAGACGAAAGCUAAUCAAUGGGAAAAGAAAUUUCAGGAUGCUCGGGCUCGAGAAGCCGCCUUGGGAAAGAGUCUACUAGUUUGCCAAGACGAGAAGACGGAGUUGAAGGUCCGGAUAACAGAACUGGAAAGAUCGCUUCGCCAGUACUGUAAUCGUAAUACUACGGUUGAAUUAAGGGCGAGCUUAGACAAAAUUGAAGAAUUAAAAACACAGAUAGGAGGGCUAGAGAAUGCAUUGCAAAAUAGUGAAAUCCGGAUAGAGCUUCUAGAAGAAAGUAAUGAGCAGUGGCAAGGACAAUUCCGUCGGUCUCAAGAGCAGAUUGGAGAAAGAGAUUAUAUUAUGGGAGAGGCGGUGACUCAGGUGCGCGAAGUGGCUGAUCAUCUGCAAACUCUAGCGGUUCAGGCUGAUCUAUUAAGUUUGAAGUAUGAGUCAGAGUCGGACAGGGGCCGAGAAUUAGCUUGGCUUCUUAGAAAGGUUAAGGCUUUGAGUGUGAGGGCAAAGCCAUAUAUGUAGUCUAUUUUAUGUAAAGAAACUCUUUAUCUAGUAAAGUUUUCUAAUGAAGUUGAAUUAAAAUCAGUGCCUCUUUUUCUUUGCAUUCUCUUUCAUGCAUUGCAUCACAUCAUAUGCAUUAAUGACCAUUAAAAAAAACCUAAUCGAAUAAAAUCAUUUCAGUUAACCUGGAAAACCAACAAAGUUACGGCACCCGAGCAAAGACAAAAAUUAUGGACCAAAGGUUAGAGAAGCUAGAGCGACUUCAAAGAGAAAUGCAAGACCAGUUGCAGGCGCAAAUGAAAGAGCAAAUAGAAAAGAUUCAGCGUGACAUGGUACAAAAGAUGGAGGAGUCCCAAAAUGAUCUGGUGGCUAAGAUGACGCAAUUAUUGAAGGGAGUGGAUAAGGGUAAAGGGCCUGUGAUUGUUAGUGAAGAAGAAAACAAUGGUGAACCACUCUAUCCUCCAGGUUUCACGCCUCCACAUGUACAGACUGAGCUGCAUUCGCGGAGACCCUCUGUGUCAGUUAGACCCCAGCAGUUCCAAGGCGAUGCUUCAAUCCCAAUGAAUUUUCAACCCGGAGCGGGCUUUAAUCCCGGUGAUAGCCCGAAUAAUAUUGCGGUCCCAGAUCUUGACGAGAUGGUUGAAAAGGACAAGGCGAAGGAGGAAUUUCCAAAACAAUUUGAGGAGAAAUGGAAAUGGAUAGAAGAGAAGUUUAGGGCAAUAGAAAGCAUCGAAAGCUAUGGAACAGAUGCAAAGGAUCUGAGCUUGGUUCCGGACUUGGUGCUCCCUUACAAAUUUAAGAUGCCGGAAUUCGAGAAAUACAACGGGACUAGUUGCCCAGGAUCCCAUAUUACUAUGUUUUGUAGAAGAAUGACGGGGCAUAUUAAUAAUGAUCAAUUAUUAAUACAUUGCUUUCAGGAAAGCCUUACGGGAGCGGCGUCAAAGUGGUACAAUCAGCUGAGCCGAGCUAAAAUUGCUACUUGGAGGGAUUUAGCACAGGCUUUCUUGAGACAAUACAAUCAUGUCUCAGAAAUGAUGCCUGACAGGAUAACUCUGCAAAAUUUAGAGAAGAAAUCAAACGAAAGCUUCAGACAAUAUGCGCAGAGGUGGCGAGAGGUGGCGGUUCAGGUGCAACCACCGCUUUUGGAAAAAGAGAUGACGACGCUUUUUAUUAAUACUUUGAAAGCCCCGUUCAUCACUCACAUGUUGGGAAGCGCUUCAAGAAAUUUCUCAGAUAUAAUCAUGAAUGGUGAAAUGAUUGAGCAUGCCAUUAAAAGUGGAAAAAUAGAUGGAGGAGAAAAUAAUAGGAGGGCACCCCCGAGGAAAAGAGAAAAUGAAGUGAAUAAUGUGAAUGCUUAUGGUAGGUCAAUUACCGUGAAUCAACCAAAGAAGGUGGUUGCUAAUCAACAGGGAUCAUCAAGACAAGAGUCAGGAGCUAGGCAAACUACUGAAAAGCCCCAAUUCACGCCAAUCCCGAUGUCAUACAAGGAGUUGUAUCAGACUUUAUUCGAUGCACAUGUUGUUGCUCCUCGUUACUUGAGUCCUCUACAACCCCCGUAUCCAAAAUGGUAUGAUACGAACGCGCAAUGUGAUUAUCAUGCGGGAAUUUCUGGGCACUCGAUAGAAAAUUGUACUGCCUUCAAGAAGGUAGUAGAAGGACUUAUCAAUUUAGGUGUUGUCAAACUUGAUGACUCACCUAACGCAAAGAAUCCGUUACCUAAUCACGCAGAUAAGGGGGUGAAUAUGGUUAGCGAAGGUACGGGAGAAGAAGUCAAGACUGACAUUGCUGAAGUAAAAACUCCAUUGAAAUGGGUCUGGAAAGAAAUGGCGAAAAGAGGUUUGAUUAUUUCAGAUUCUGAGAAAGGGCAUGAGAUGGGAAAUUAUUGUGAAUUUCACCAUGAAACAGGGCAUGAAAUCCAAGAAUGUGAAGGAUUUAAGGCCUUGGUUCAAAGCAUGAUGGAUAACAAGGAGAUGAGAUUUUAUGAAGAUGUGAAAGAAAUGAGGAGCAUAUGCGCGACAGAGUUGGGAACAAAAGCUCCAAAAAUAAAUCAUCCCGUGGUCAUUAUCUCCCGCCCUAAGGGUAAUGAGGUUAGGGCUCAGGUAACGCCGAAAAUUGUAAUCCAGAAACCAUCAAAUUUCUCUUAUAAAGAUAACAAAAUGGUGCCGUGGAAUUACGGGUGUAAUGUGACCAUUUUGGGAAAAGAAGCAGAAAGAAAUCAGGAAACAGUUUUUUACACGCGCAAGGGAAAAAGAUAUGACGCUCAAGCAGAGUCGUCCAGGGAAGAGAAUUGGAAGAAAGAACAGAGGAAAGGGAAGGCAGUAGAAGUUGAACCAUUGGUAAAUGAACCAAUAAAAGAAGAAGAGGCGAAGGAGUUUUUGAAGUUUUUGAAACACAGCGAAUACAGUGUUGUGGAGCAACUGCACAAACAGCCAGCCCGCAUUUCGGUAUUAGCUUUACUCUUAAACUCAGAAGUACAUCGGAAUGCACUCUUAAAGGUGCUAAACGAAACAUAUGUGGCUGACGAUAUUUCAGUAAACAAGUUGGAUCGGUUGAUCAACAAUAUUGGUGCUGACAAUUUUAUCUUCUUCAAUGAUGAUGAAAUACCAUCCGGAGGAAGAGGUUCUACUAAAGCCCUCCACGUUACUGUCCGAUGCAAAGGGUACACACUCCCGGGGGCCUUGGUCGAUAAUGGAUCUGCACUAAAUGUAUUGCCUUUGUCCACUCUUAGUCGAUUACCAAUAGACAGUUCGCACAUGAAAGCAUGCCAGAGCAUAGUAAGGGCAUUUGAUGGAACAAAAAAGGAGGUUAUGGGGAGAAUUGAAGUACCAUUAAGGAUUGGCCCAGUCACUUAUGAGGUGGAUUUCUUGGUAAUGGAUAUUAAACCCUCCUACAACUGUCUAUUGGGGAGACCGUGGAUACACUCAGCAGGGGCGGUACCUUCAUCAUUACAUCAGAAGGUGAAGUUGGUAUCGGAGGAUCGGUUGGUAACAAUAGAUGCAGAGGAGGAUAUUAUCGCAAUGAUGACUAGCGAGACACCUUAUGUGGACAUCAACGAGGAGGCACUGGAAUGUUCUUUUCGGUCGUUAGAAUUUGUGAACGCGAUGUUUAUUGCGGAGGGAAAUAGGAUUCCAGUACCGAAAAUGUCCAGGACCACUGAGAUGGGAUUGCGAUUGAUGGUAGGAAGAGGAGCCUUACCCGGGAAAGGAUUGGGAAAAUAUCUUCAGGGGAGGAUUGAGGCACCAAUGCCGAGGGAAAAGUUUGAUAGAUUUGGUUUAGGGUACAAGCCAGACAUGAAGCAGAAGAAGAAAGAAGUAGAGAAGAGACAAGCGAGAAGAAGGGCGCGUUUGAAUGGACAUGAAGCUAAGUGUGAGCCUUUAACCUUUCCCCACAUAUCUUCAUCUUUUGUGUCGGGAGGAUUUAUUCAUUCUGAAUGUGGGGUGUCCGGUAGCGGCAUGGGAGGAAUGUUGGAAAACGUUUAUAUUAACACCAUAGAAGCAACGGAAAGGAGGGCUUUGUUGGAGAUCCGCCCUUAUGAGCCUGGAAGCGAGCUAAACAAUUGGACUGCUGAAGAAAUCCCUGUAAUCUUUAGGGCUUAUUCAGAGUAAUGCUCAAAACAUUCCUGUUGUUUGUUGGCCUAGAAACGAUACGAAAUUUUUUGUGAAAUAGGCAUUGGGCCUAAAUAUCAUUAUUUUAAUAAAAUACGUGUCUACGUUCAUCUCGAUCAGUCACUUUUUCCUUUCAUAUUUUUCAUUUGGUUGAUUGUCUUACAAAUAAUUCUUUCAUUUGUGAUUCUUUUGCAAACAUAUUCAUAAAUUUAUAUUCUUGGUAUAUUAUUUGAUCUGCCCACAUAGGUCUUCAGAUAUCAAUGACAUGAGUGAUGCUGUCUCAAACGCGGAGCCUAUUUUUGAGCAAGAAGUGUGUUCAGAGGGAUCCCACGACUUUGAAAAUGACGAAGAUUAUGAUGCAUCUCCGGACUUGUUAAGAAUGAUGGAACAAGAGGAUAAGCAUAUCCUACCUCAUAGGGAAUCGUUAGAAAUAGUGAGCCUAGAGGAUGGAAAGGAGGUGAAAAUUGGAACUGAAAUUACCGCAAAGACAAGGCAAGACCUCAUCAAUUUGCUCCGAGAGUUCAAGGAUGUUUUCGCGUGGUCGUACCAAGAUAUGCCUGGGCUAAGUACUAACAUUGUGGUACAUCGCCUGCCCAUAAAGGAGGAUUGUAAACCCGUUCAACAGAAGCUUAGGAGAAUGAGACCUGACAUUGUGUUGAAAAUAAGAGAAGAAGUCAAAAGACAAUUCGACGCUGGUUUCUUACAAGAGGUCAAGUAUUCGGAUUGGGUAGCCAACAUCGUCCCUGUUCCCAAAAAAGAUGGAAAGGUACGAAUGUGUGUGGACUAUAGGGAUUUAAACAAGGCUAGUCCAAAGGACAACUUUCCACUGCCUCACAUUGAUACUUUGGUAGAUAACACGGCGGGCUAUUCAUUGUUUUCUUUCAUGGACGGUUUCUCUGGAUACAAUCAAAUAAAGAUGCAUCCCGGAGACAUGAGGAAAACCACAUUCAUUACCUUAUGGGGAACAUUUUGUUACAAGGUAAUGCCCUUCGGAUUGAAGAAUGCGGGAGCAACGUAUCAAAGAGCUAUGGUGACUUUGUUUCACGACAUGAUGCACAAGGAGAUCGAAGUCUAUGUUGACGAUAUGAUCGCGAAGUCUAGAACGGAAGAAGAGCAUGUUCAGGUUUUGAAAAGGUUAUUUUUGAGAUUAAAGAAAUUUCAGCUCAAGCUUAACCCGGCCAAAUGCACGUUCGGAGCCAGAUCAGGGAAGUUAUUAGGCUUCAUAGUUAGCAAAAAGGGGAUCGAGGUUGACCCAGACAAAGUAAAGGCAAUACGAGAUUUACCUCCCCCGCGCACUCAGAAGGAGGUUCGAGGUUUCCUAGGGAGGCUGAAUUACAUUGCUCGGUUCAUCUCACAACUGACAGAGAAAUGUGAUCCAGUAUUCCGGCUCUUAAAGAAACAUAAUCCGGGCAAUUGGGAUGAAGAGUGUCAGAGGGCUUUCGAUAAGAUAAAGCAGUACUUGGCUAAUACUCCAGUCUUAUCACCUCCAAGUCCAGAUAGGCCAUUGAUAUUGUAUCUAGCAGUGUUGGAGAAUUCCAUGGGAUGCGUAUUGGGCCAACAUGAUGAGACGGGAAAGAAAGAAAGGGCAAUAUACUAUCUCAGUAAGAAAUUUACCGAUUGCGAAAUGAGGUACUCAUCAAUUGAGAAGUUGUGUUGUGCUCUAAUCUGGGCAACCCGAAGACUGAGGCAGUAUAUGUUGUAUCACACGACUUGGCUGAUUUCAAAGUUAGAUCCUUUAAAAUAUAUGAUGGAAUCAACUGCUUUGAACGGGAGAAUGGCUAGAUGGCAGAUCUUGCUCUCAGAAUUUGAUAUAGUAUAUGUCAGUUAGAAGGCCAUAAAGGGAAGUGCAAUAGCCGAUUUCCUAGCUAGUAGAGCCUUGGAGGACUAUGAAUCUUUGAAUUUCGAUUUUCCAAACGAGGACUUGAUGUAUGUGGCGAAUACUGAAGAAAACCCUCAAAUGGAUCACGUAUGGAAGUUAAAUUUUGAUGGAGCUUCGAAUGCUACGGGUAAUGGAGUUGGGGCAGUUUUGGUAUCCCCGAGUGGAGAUCAUUAUCCUGUAGCCAGCAAGUUGGACUUCGAUUGUACAAAUAAUAUGGCAGAAUAUGAAGCAUGUAUUAUGGGCAUUCGUGCAGCCAUUGAACGGAACAUCAAAGUACUGAGAGUAUACGGGGAUUCAGCGUUGGUGAUAUACCAACUCAAAGGGGAGUGGGAGACUAGAGAUCCUAAGCUAAUUGGUUAUAGGAAACUAGUUCUUGAAUUGGCUGAGGAGUUUGACGAUAUCACCUUCUAUUACCUCCCACGGGAGGAAAACCAAAUGGCUGAUGCAUUAGCUACUCUAGCUUCGAUGAUUCAGGUGAAUAGACUUGAGGCAAUGAGGCCUGUUCAGAUGAGUAUCUCUGAGACCCCGGCUAAUUGUUGCAAUAUUGAGGAGGAGGGAAAAGAUGAUUGUCCUUGGUAUCGGAGUAUCUUACAAUAUGUGAAGAAUCGGGAAUACCCUGAUCAAGCGACAGAGAAUGACAAAAGAACUCUGAGAAAGAUAGCCAUUGAAUAUGUCUUAGAUGGAGAAGUGUUAUAUAAAAGAAGGAAGGAUCAAGUACUGUUAAGAUGUGUAGAUGCGGUAGAAGCCAAGAAAAUUUUGGAGGAAGUCCAUGAGGGUAUUUGUGGGACGCACGCCAGUGGUUUCACGAUGGCCAGACAGAUCAUGAGAUUUGGGUACUAUUGGCCCACCAUGGAAGGAGAUUGCAUUGAUCAUGCCAGGAAGUGCCACAAAUGCCAAAUUUACGGAGACAAAAUACACGCGCCUCCUUCACCUCUUCACGUCAUGACCUCUCCUUGGCCGUUUUCCAUGUGGGGUAUGGAUGUUAUUGGGCCAAUAUCACCAAAGGCUUCUAAUGGGCAUCGCUUCAUCUUCGUAGUAAUUGAUUACUUUACCAAGUGGGUGGAGGCUGCUUCAUAUGCAAAUGUCACAAAAGCAGUAGUCAGCAAAUUCUUGAAGAAGGAGAUCAUUUGUCGAUAUGGGAUGCCUGAGAGGAUCAUAUCCGACAACGCGAUGAACUUGAAUAAUAGCACAAUAGCUGAAGUUUGUAGCAAAUUUAAAAUUAAGCAUCAUAACUCAUCGCCGUAUCGUCCCAAAAUGAAUGGUGCAGUGGAGGCAGCCAAUAAAAACAUUAAAAGGAUUGUGGGGAAAAUGACUGAAACCUACAAGGAUUGGCAUGAGAAAUUAUCAUUUGCUCUCCUCGCCUAUCGAACAUCUGUUAGAACUUCUACUGGGGCAACGCCUUUUGCUCUGGUUUAUGGAAUGGAGGCAGUAUUACCCAUUGAAGUUGAAAUCCCUUCUCUACGGGUGUUAUCUGAGCUACAGUUGGAUGAAGCCGAUUGGAUCCAAUCUCGGUACGAUCAGUUGAACUUAAUAGAAGAAAAGAGGCUAAGAGCUAUUCACCAUGGGCAAAUGUACCAGAAACGAAUGAUGCGAGCCUAUAAUAAAAAGGUUCGCCCCCGAGAAUUUCGUGAAGGGGACUUGGUACUAAAAAAGAUUCUUCCUAUGCAAAAAGAUUUUAGAGGAAAAUGGAUGCCAAAUUGGGAAGGCCCUUAUGUUGUAAAGAAGGCCUUUUCCGGUGGAGCUUUGAUCCUAUGCGAGAUGGAUGGCAAAAGUUUACCAAAUCCUGUAAACGCAGACUCUGUUAAGAAAUACUUCACUUGAAAGAAAGGGGAACCAAAGUGAAAACCCGUAAAGGGCGCUUUGCUUCCUAAAAAAAAAAAAAAAAAAAAAAAAAAAAAAAAAAAAAACUUUGGAGAGGCUAAGGUGAAAACCCGUAAAGGGCACUUUGAGACCAAAGAGGGCUUGAGUCGAAAACCCGAAAAGGGCGACUCGAGUAUUGGGCAGGAUUGGAACAUCAGGACUUGAGCGGAUCAAAUUUUGAUCAGGGGCAUAUGAUGAUCUUGCUUUACCAAUAAGGAAGGAUAUGCAACGUCUCGGAACAUUGACAGAGUAUUGCAGAUUUCCUGAACACAUGUCAAACUCAGAAGGGUCUUCGGAAAAUUUGUACAGAGAAACUCAAGCGGCGAUAACUGGGGCACCUAGUUCAUAUGUGUAUUCUUGAAAAUACAUUUUCUUUCUUUCUUCCUUGCCUUUUGAGAAAACGCGCAUUCUCAAUCCACUUCUUUGUUACCUUUCUUUCGCCAUCUUUGAUGUUUUAUUUGAGUUAUGAUCAGAACUAGCUUUAUUCUUAUCCAUUAUUAUGAUCUUUUCGCAAACAUGUUGCAUAGGAAUAUUGAUUAACGAACUAAUAAAACUUUCAGGAAAGAGGUUUUGCAUAUUACUCUGAAAAGUUCUAAAUAAUAUAGAAACCUGAAACAGGACUAUUGUUUAGAAAAUACCAAGUUUAAAGGGUGAAGUAUCUAAGAAGGAAGAGUCUAAGUUAAAGACUAUAUUUUUGGAUUUUGUUGUCCAAACAUUGAUUGAACAAAAUGACGAGAUGUCGUGUUGGUGACAAAGCUUCAAUGAACAAACAAGCAAUGAUCACCAAAUGAUAAGAAAAGGUUUUCUCGGAGAGGAAAAUUCUGCAAUUGUGCAUGAGCAUUUGGUAUGACACCUUGGGAAUGAGGUAAAGGACCAAAGAGCUUCACAUUCUGUAUCCUUGAAUUGCGAUAGGAGAAGAUUGAAAAAGCCAUAUCUUUCUACCCUUGGAUUAUAGUGGGAGAAUGAUGGUACAAAUUUUGAGCCCUAAUAGAUUAAACUUUAAGGUUUACAGUGGGGGGGCAACCAGAUUAAGUGUUUCUUUGGAUAUACCAGACGAGCAAAAAGGCGUUGUAGUACGUCAGUGAUAAAACCUUAAUAAGUUUUUACGUGAUGUUAACCUAAGCAUUAAGGAAUCAUCUUCAUGACAUUUUGCAUUCACUCAAAUGUCAUUCAUACAUAUCUAGUUAGGAGCAUUUGAUUCAUUCUGAUUAUGUCAUCUGAAUCACUAGGCACGAUUAGGUUCAUAAAAUAGAACAUACAGGUCAUGUUCCCCAAGGGACAGAUCAAUGAAGACAAAGGAUCUUGCCUUUCUGCAUUGACAGUGAAGCAGAUCGAAGACACAAACCUUGCCUCUUUCGGUUGUGAUAGAGCUGGUUGAAGACAAAAGAUCUUGCCUUCCUACAUUAACAGCGAAGCAGAUCGAAAACAAAGCCUUGCAUCCAUCGAUCGCAUUGGAGCUAGUUAAAGAAGUAGAUCUUGCCUUCCUGCAUUAACAGCGGAGCAGAUCAAAGAUAGUAAUCCUAUCUCCUUGAGAUUACAAUGGAGCGGAUUAAAGGAUCUUAUCUCUCUGAAGUUACAGUAGAGAAGAUCACAUCAGAUCUUAUCUCCCUGAGAUUACAGCGGAGCAGAUCAAAGAUAGUAAUCCUAUCUCCUUGAGAUUACAAUGGAGCGGAUUAAAGGAUCUUAUCUCUCUGAAGUUACAGUAGAGUAGAUCGCAUCAGGUCUUAUCUCCCUGAGAUUACAGUGGAACAGACCGAAGAAUUGCAGAUCUUGUCUCCCUGAGGUUACAGCGGAGCAGAUCGAAGAUAUAAUCCUAUCUCCCUGAAGUUACAGUGGAGCGGAUUAAAAUAAAGGAUCUUAUCUCUCUGAAGUUACAGUAGAGUAGAUCGCAUCAGGUCUUAUCUCUCUGAGGUUACAGUGGAGUAGACCGAAGAAUUGCAGAUCUUAUCCCCCUGAAGUUACAGUGGAGCAGAUUGAAGCCAGAGAUCUUAUCUCCCCGAGAUUACAGCGGAGCAGAUCGAAGACACUAUCCUAUCUCCCUGAAGUUACAGUGGAGUGGGUUAAAAUAAAGGAUCUUAUCUCUCUGAGGUUACAGUGGAGUAGACCGAAGAAUUGCAGAUCUUAUCCCCCUGAAGUUACAGUGGAGCAGAUUGAAGCCAGAGAUCUUAUCUCCCCGAGAUUACAGCGGAGCAGAUCGAAGACACUAUCCUAUCUCCCUGAAGUUACAGUGGAGUGGGUUAAAAUAAAGGAUCUUAUCUCUCUGAGGUUACAGCAGAGUAGGUCGCAUCAAGUCUUAUUUCCCUGAAGAUGCAGUGGAAUAGAUUGAAAACCACAAACCUCGUCCCCCUGAAGUUGCUACGAAGAAGAUAAAGGCUACAGGACGCAUCUCUCUAAAAUGCAGUGGAAUGGAUCGAAGCAACAAGACCUAGUGGACUGGAAUGAAACUACUUGAAAUGGAGAAGUACCAGAACAAGUCAAGACUCGGCAAGACCGGGCAAAAUGGGCCUUUCUUAGUCUUUGCUCUGUUAUCGUUACACGACAACGAGCAAAGAGGGGCAGCUGUUGCAGGCCCAUUUGCCCGGGCCCAAGAAGAAACAAAGAACCCAUACCAGCAGACCCACCUGCUCCACCUGCUCUGCCACUGCCGCACCGCCAUCACCUACCCUCCGCCGCACGUCCCAUCGCCUGCACCGUUCAGCCACCUGCUCCACCUGCCAAAGAGAAACAAACACGCAAGCAGAAACGAAGACAAAUUUUUUUCUUUCUUUCGGCUAUAAAAAGCCAGAUUUAAUAUGUAAAUGGGGCUGACUCUUUUUUAAAAAGAAAAAAAAGAUCAAAGAAAUAGAGAAAAAAAUCAGUUGAAAGGUGA